rnacentral:rRNA from 1 species
UACGUAGGGGGCAAGCGUUGUCCGGAUUCAUUGGGCGUAAAGAGCGUGUAGGCGGCCAGGUAGGUCGGUUGUGAAAACUGGAGGCUCAACCUUCAGAGGUCGACCGAAACCAUCUGGCUAGAGUCCGGGAGAGGGAUGCGGAAUUCCAGGUGUAGCGGUGAAAUGCGUAGAGAUCGGGCGGAACACCAGCGGCGAAGGCGGCAUCCUGGCCCUUACCUGACGCUGAGGCGCGAGAGCGUGGGGAGCAAACCGG